rnacentral:rRNA from 1 species
GAUGAACGCUGGCGGCGUGCCUAAUACAUGCAAGUCGAGCGAACGGACGAGAAGCUUGCUUUUCUGAUGUUAGCGGCGGACGGGUGAGUAACACGUGGAUAACCUACCUAUAAGACUGGGAUAACUUCGGGAAACCGGAGCUAAUACCGGAUAAUAUUUUGAAUCGCAUGGUUCAAAAGUGAAAGACGGUCUUGCUGUCACUUAUAGAUGGAUCCGCGCUGCAUUAGCUAGUUGGUAAGGUAACGGCUUACCAAGGCAACGAUGCAUAGCCGACCUGAGAGAGUGAUCGGCCACACUGGAACUGAGACACGGUCCAGACUCCUACGGGAGGCAGCAGUAGGGAAUCUUCCGCAAUGGGCGAAAGCCUGACGGAGCAACGCCGCGUGAGUGAUGAAGGUCGUCGGAUCGUAAAACUCUGUUAUUAGGGAAGAACAUAUGUGUAAGUAACUGUGCACAUCUUGACGGUACCUAAUCAGAAAGCCACGGCUAACUACGUG